CAGCCGCCGCGGGAACACGAAGGGGGCUAGCGUUGCUCGGAAUUACUGGGCGUAAAGGGAGCGUAGGCGGACAUUUAAGUCAGGGGUGAAAUCCCAGAGCUCAACUCUGGAACUGCCUUUGAUACUGGGUGUCUUGAGUGUGAUAGAGGUAUGUGGAACUCCGAGUGUAGAGGUGAAAUUCGUAGAUAUUCGGAAGAACACCAGUGGCGAAGGCGACAUACUGGAUCAUUACUGACGCUGAGGCUCGAAAGCGUGGGGAGCAAACAGGAUUAGAUACCCCUGUAGUCCCUGUCUCUUAUAC
rnacentral:rRNA from 1 species